rnacentral:rRNA from 1 species
AGUGAACGCUGGCGGUAGGCCUAACACAUGCAAGUCGAACGGCAGCACAGUAAGAGCUUGCUCUUACGGGUGGCGAGUGGCGGACAGGUGAGGAAUACAUCGGAAUCUACUUUUUCGUGGGGGAUAACGUAGGGAAACUUACGCUAAUACCGCAUACGACCUACGGGUGAAAGUAGGGGAUCUUCGGACCUUGCGCGAUUGAAUGAGCCGAUGUCGGAUUAGCUAGUUGGCGGGGUAAAGGCCCACCAAGGCGACGAUCCGUAGCUGGUCUGAGAGGAUGAUCAGCCACACUGGAACUGAGACACGGUCCAGACUCCUACGGGAGGCAGCAGUGGGGAAUAUUGGACAAUGGGCGCAAGCCUGAUCCAGCCAUACCGCGUGGGUGAAGAAGGCCUUCGGGUUGUAAAGCCCUUUUGUUGGGAAAGAAAAGCAGCAGGUUAAUACCCCGCUGUUCUGACGGUACCCAAAGAAUAAGCACCGGCUAACUUCGUG